UGUGGAGCAGGCUGUGGGCAGGGAAGGGAGGUGAGAUGCACCAGCUCAGUCCACCAUCACUGGGAAUCCACUCCAAGCACGGGAAAGCAGCCAGCCAGGCAGAGCUGCUCCCCGGGACUGAGGAAGGGCUCCCAUUCUGUCUUUGUAGAUUCCUGGCACUGGGUCUGGAACGAUUGUGUCCUGUUCGCUGUGCGAUGUUCUCCAUCCUCUGCACAAAAGGUGAGGAGCCCCAGAGAGGCGAGGGCGGGAUGGUUUGUGCUGGGUUUCUGGCAGUGACACAGUCUCAGGGAUGGAGAGAUUCAUCCGGCUCUCCCUACACCAGCCAUUUCUACGGCAGCGGGAGGGGACCAAGCGGUAUUGCUAAUUCUCGCUAGAACACAACCAGGCUGACAGUUCCCCCGCUCUAGGCCUGAUGGGUGAAUCCAGGCAUCUUGGCGCUCUGCUGACAUCAUGGAAAAUCUUAGCUGCAUGGCCGCAGAGCACACACUUGCCAAUUAGCAGGGGAGCCCACAGAGGAAAGAGCCUGGCUCCCUCCUGCUUCCCCUGAAUUCUAGAAAGGACGCUGGGCUGCUGGGCCGCCAGCUGCCUGCUGUUCCUCCUGAUUCAUCGCAGCCCAGGUUCUGGCCUCCUGCACAGAAGCAACCCCAGACUCCAGAACUCCAGACUCCAACCCCAGAAGCACGUCCUGACUCGGCUGGUCAGACGUCCGGUGCUUGAGAUCAAAUCCCAACCCCAUCGCUGUUUUGCUGUGAGAUGCUGGGGAGAGUGGGGUGUGUGGAGGAGACUAGAAGACAGCUGAUUGUGAGCUCUGCAGCUUGGGAGUGUGACUGUGGGAAGGUGACUUCAAGGAUGGGUGUCGCCAACCCCACCCCUUGCCUGCUCUUUUGGUUCUAAAAGGCCAGCCAUCAGAGACCACCGCAGCAGCAGCAGCAGCCCUAGGAAGUGGUGACAGACAGACUCAUGGGCGCAUCUCCUCCUCUCUCUUGCACUCUUUCACGGGCUACUCUACUCGCAAGUCCUGUGCUGGAAGCUGCAAGGUCAGUAGGAAAAAGGCACAAGGCUUUUGUUUUUUGGCUUCCGGUACUCCGGGCUUUACUCUAGGGCCCUGCGCUGGCUGCUGGGGCCAGAGUUGAUGUUGGAAGCUGGCAGCAGAGCCUGGGGUUGUGAGCAGCAGAGAGGGAGGUUGCUGCCUCGCCACAGGUGCGAUGAUUGCAGAAGUAACUCUCCUUUCCGCUCCCCUCUGAGAAGCCGUCUGAGGGCUGAAGGCUCGGUGGGCUCUAUAGGUUGCUCGUGAACAUCAAGGACCUGGGGUAGGCUGAAUCGCCCUAAGUUAUCUCUUCUAUAAGUGUAUUGUGUCGGUUGUGCAUCCUUACCUGAAUACGAGGGUUAGAUGUGUUCUGGAUUUCAAGUUUUCCAGUUUUAACCUAUUUGCAUAAACUCAGCCGGUUAGGCACCGCCCCCAUCUGCAGCUACAGAGCCCACAGCACUCGCGUCGGAGGCCAAGGGCUCAGCCUGAGUGAGCGUCACCAGCCCCGCCCCCCAGCUCCAUCCGGUACAUCUCUGACUCCUCUCCUUCCGUGGACUGGUAAUUGGAGGGAGGGUUCCAGCCGUGAUAGCUCAGCGGAGUUGGAACGCCAGCUUUCUCAUCAGCUUGUUCAUAUAAAUUGGUGAGCUCUGGGUUCAGAGAGAGACCAUUACUCCAAAAAUGAGACGAAGAGUGGGAGAGAUGGAUGGGGCGAAUGAGCUCACUGCCAAGCCUAGAGACUUGUGUUUUAUCCCUGGGCUUCUCAUAGUAGAAGGAGAAAUGACUCACCAGUUGUCCCUCUGACUUCCAUCCUUUUGCCUUCCCAACCGUAAAAGGGGAGAUGUGAUUGAAAAAUAGGACUGACAUCCACCUCUGGUCUUCACAUACAUAUAUGUACACAUGCACACGCAUGCAUACACACAGAUACAUGCACAUGCAUGCACGCGUGGGACCACACACUCACACAAAGAAUCCCUUACAUUAGCCUCUGUCCUGAUACGUUUUGUUUGUUUGUUUGUUUGAGACAGGGUCUCAUGCAGCCCAGGCUGGCUUCUGACUCACUGGGAAGCAGGGUUUAGCCUCAAACUCUAAUCCUGCCUCCUCUGCCUCUGAAGUGUUGAGAUUCAGGUGUUCACACACAUGCCUGGCUUUUCCUGAUCGUGUUUAUAUCCUGCCUGGAAAGCUGACAGACGGUACAGACGUCAUUCCGCUUCACAGCAGGAGAAAGCAGACCCUGGACAGAGUUUGGGUUACAGGUCUGAGUCUGGGGCCCAGAACCCUGCUUUAGGCUCUGCCAGGCUGGGUUGAUUUUUGGAUUGAAGGAUCCUUUUCCUUGGAAAGUCAUGACAUGAGCAAGGGAAGCCAUUACGACAUAAGGGUGGUCAUAGAAAGACAGGAUUGUCUGUCUUUCUUCCAGGGGCAAGUUCCAGCUCCCUGAACAGUUUACACACAUGCGUACGCAUGCACACGUGCAUACACACACACAAACACACGCAUGCACGCACAUGCUUUGGGAUCGGAUCCAUUCCUGGGAGAGUGUGUGCAUAUCGGCUGAGUUUGGCACCCCUGGUGUUUGUUUCUUCUGCUGCUGUGUGCUCUGUCUUACAUGUGUUCCCACCAUGAGAUGCUACUUGUGUGAGACCCUCACUGGAGGCUGACAGGGUGAUGUGCUCCCAGACCUCCAAAACUUGAACUAAAUAAACC
ensembl:lncRNA